ensembl:lncRNA
CGGCGUUCCCAUCGACGGACCGGACGUCAGGUGGCGGAGGACGGGGUCCGACGGAUGGCAGGGGGCCACAAAGGGCCUCCAACGCCCCCCACUCCAGCUCAUACUUGAUGCAAUGCUCCCAUCAGCUAUACUGACGUAAAAGGACCCAUUCAUCACCGAGAUGACGUCAGGUUCCUCGCCCGACUCCUGAUCCCGGUGUUCGAACUCUCCGCCCUGUAUUGAUUCCCAGAGCAGCUUGUCUCAACACGAGAGAUCCUCACAUCCUGCUAGAACGCUAUAGCAUAUUUGGUCAGGUCAUGAAUAAAUCAUGAAGCUUUGUGAAUAAAUAAAUAGUGAAUAAUUAAUGAAAAUUGAAUGAAUCCAGAUAUUAUUAUUUAUUUGGUGAAUAAAAAACACAAAAUCGACUUCCAUUUCCCUCAGAACAGAAAAUGGGAGCAGGGACACAUAACGAGACCUUUAACUGAACAAAUGGAUGAAUAUUAAACGAAC